rnacentral:lncRNA from 1 species
CCGGCUCGCAGCAGGCAGCUCCCGGGGGCCGGCGAUGGCAGGCGGUGGCGGGCGAUGGCCUCGGCCAAAGGACGGGGAGCGAAGUCCGGGAGGCAGCGGAACCGGGGUGCAGGGUGCGGUGAGGCGACCAGGGCGGGCGAGGUCCGGGACCUGGCAUUUGGGUCUCCCGGCCGCAGGCGCGCGCGCGAGGGUUUCAGCCUGUGUCUAGGAACUCUGUUUGGGUUCCACCAUCGGAGGAGAUGCCCUGGUUCAGGGGUAAAUCCUGACUUGUCUAAACCAAUCAUGACAGAGCCAUCUCCCUGCCUGCGGUUGGCUGGGGCUGAGCUCGUGACCGAGAUUUGACCAUGGAGACAGAUGUGGAAGUACUUGCCAUGGGCCUUCUUGUUAAAAAGAAACACAGAAUGCAGAAUUUCCUGGAUUUUAGGACGUUAUAUGACACCCCCAUCAGACUCCAAGGCAGCACCUCCUGAUGAAACACAUUAAUUAAUGGUUCUGCAGCAGAAUGUAAAAAAUAUUCUUAUCAAGCAAGACGAGUCAAGACUGCAAAUACCUGUGGAUUAGUCCACAUUGAGUCUUGCUGCUGAAUGAAAUAGCCUCAAACCUAGCAAAGCCCAGACAUCUUUCUGGUCUUCAGAACUUUGUGAAUUUUGGGUUGAGGAUAGGGACUGUGGACAUGAAUCAUUCUUCAAUGCUUUCGUCUGCAUUUCCCUGACUACUUGAGAUGUUGAACUGACACUGGCCCUGAUAUUGGUCCCCGUGUGUUAAUCCAGCACAUGUGGGGUUAAAACCGAAAGCACUCAUCCCCUUUACUGCUUACUCUUUGGCUAUCUGGCACCAGAAUCCUCCCUCCACGGAGGCAGACAAGGACACCCACCUGUGGAUUCCCUUAGCUCACCAGCCCUUUUCCUACAAGCAGCCACAUUCCUUGCAAGCUUUAAAACCCCUUGCCUCCCAUCUUUUGGGGAGAUGAGAGAAAUUUGAGGGCUCACUCUUGUCUCCCGGCUGACAUCGCCUGAAAUAAAAACCUUUCCUUGCUGUAAGCCUGGUGUUCAGGUUUUAUUUGGCUCCUCUUGUGUGGUGGGUGAAGAAC